rnacentral:rRNA from 1 species
UACGGGGGGGGCAAGCGUUGUUCGGAAUUACUGGGCGUAAAGGGCUCGUAGGCGGCCAACUAAGUCAGACGUGAAAUCCCUCGGCUUAACCGGGGGAACUGCGUCUGAUACUGGAUGGCUUGAAUUCGGGAGAGGGAUGCAGAAUUCCAGGUGUAGCGGUGAAAUGCGCAGAUAUCAGGAGGAACACCGGUGGCGAAGGCGGCAUCCUGGACCAACACUGACGCUGAGGAGCGAAAGCUAGGGGAGCGAACGGG